GAUAUGAUUACCUUGUAGUUAUAUAUCAUUGAAGUGACGGGGUACUCAUAAAAGACUGUAGUUAGUCUACAAAGCAGUAUUAUACUUUAUUUCAUUGUAGGAUUUGUGGCGGUUUCUCCGUGCGUGAACGUGAAGUUAAGAUUGUAUCUCGAUAUAACUCGGCAGAAAUCGGGUUAAGUCGAUCUUGCGCGAAAUUCUAUUUCAAGUGUCAAAUUAAAAAAAAAAGCUUAUAUUAAUUGUCCUGUAUAAUAAUGGGAUUACUAUCCGAAGGAAGCCCUUUAACCUGGGAAGAAACGAAAAAUCUUGCUGACCAUGUUCGGAAACAUGGAAUUAUUCAAUUCAUUAACCUAUACAAGAGACUCAGGGAUCGACAGGGUGAUAUACUCAAAUGGGGCGAUGAGGUUGAAUAUAUGCUUAUUAAAUUUGAUGAUAAAGCAAAAACUGCAAAGCUUAGUUUAAGAGCUGCAGAAAUAUUAAAAAUAUUAAAUGAAAAAGAAUAUAAUGAUCCAGACAAUAUUAAAUCAUUAUGGAGACCUGAAUAUGGUGCUUAUAUGUUAGAAGGCACACCAGGAAAACCAUAUGGUGGCUUAUUAGUUCAUUUUAAUGUUGUUGAAGCUAACAUGAGAUAUAGAAGGCAAGAAGCUUCAAAAUUACUUGAACCCAAUGAAGUUUUAAUGUCUUUAACUAAUUUUCCUAGAACAGGAGCAUAUGAUUUCACAGAUCCUCCAACACAUCCAACUCCAAAUUCAGGGGCAUCAAAAAGUUUAUUUUUUCCAGAUGAAGCUAUAUAUCCAGGUCAUCCGCGAUUUAAAACAUUAACGAGAAAUAUAAGAUUACGACGUGGAGAAAAAGUUGCUAUAAACAUUCCUAGUAUAUACUUAUUGUAUUUAAUAGUUGCACAUGUGUAUCUUUUUAUGAAUAUAAAAAUUCAGUUUGAGCUUGACAUGAAGUAUUUCUUUGCAGUUUAUAAAGAUAAAAAUGUUUCAAGUCCUUUCAAAGAGGAUUUUAGUCCCUUUAUCGAAGAUGAAUCAAGUUCUGCAGCAAGAGAAGAUCAUAUUUACAUGGAUGCCAUGGGUUUUGGAAUGGGUUGUUGCUGUUUACAACUUACUUUUCAGGCUUGUAACAUAGAGGAAGCAAGGACAUUAUACGACCAAUUAACGCCUUUAUGUCCAAUAAUGUUGGCUCUAACCGCUGCUAGUCCAUUUUAUCGAGGAUAUAUAAGCGACGUUGAUUGCCGGUGGAAUGUGAUAUCUUGCUCUGUAGACUGCAGAACACAAGAGGAACGUGGCUUAAAGCCUUUGGAAGAAAAUAAAUUCAGAAUUAGUAAAUCUAGAUACGAUUCUAUUGAUUCAUAUCUUAGUGAACAAGGAGAAAAAUAUAACGAUGUUCCCUUAACAUAUGAUGACGAAGUAUAUAAACAACUAUUAGAUAAUGGAAUUGAUAAAUUACUUGCACAACAUAUAGCUCACUUAUUUAUCAGGGAUACUGUAUCUUUAUUUUCUGAAAAAGUCCAUCAAAAUGAUUUGGAGGAUACUGAUCACUUUGAAAACAUACAAUCAACUAAUUGGCAAACUAUGCGAUUCAAGCCACCACCACCAAAUUCAUCUAUAGGAUGGCGUGUUGAAUUUCGUCCAUGCGAAGUUCAAAUUACGGAUUUUGAAAAUGCUGCAAUAGUUUGUUUUAUUGUCCUUCUUACAAGAGUUAUUUUAAGUUAUAAAUUAAACCUUCUGAUACCAAUUAGUAAAGUUGAUAAAAAUAUGGCUCGGGCACAAAGGAGAAAUGCAGUAACAGCAGAAAAAUUUUGGUUCCGUCGAGAUAUUACAUCAGACGCAAAAAAGCAAGAUGAUGGACAACCAGAGUAUACAGAAUUUACUGUUAACGAAAUUAUUAAUGGAAAGGAUGGUAUUUUUCCGGGUUUAAUACCGUUAGUAAAUUCGUACUUAGCUAGUAUGGAUGUAGAUGCGGACACACAUUGUACUGUACAAGCAUAUAUGAAAUUCAUACAAAAAAGAGCUUCUGGAGAAUUAUUAACGACUGCUGCAUGGUUAAGGAAGGAAGUUGUUUCACACCCAGAGUACAAAAACGAUUCUGUAAUAACACAACGCAUCAACUAUGACUUAUUAAAGAAAGUACAAAAGAUUAUAUCUAAUGAAAUAUCAUGUCCAGAAUUACUCGGAACGUGUAUACUAUCAAAAACUAAUGAAACUAUACCUGCAGCAGUUGCAAAAGCGGAAAAGGUUCCCAUGUGAAUUAUUGUUGUUAAUGGCAAUGGCUUAAAUAUGCUUAAAUAGAUAUAUAUAUAUAUAUAUAUAUAUAUAUAUAUAUAUAUAUUGCACUUCAGAUCUUCUUGUACAUACUUAACAUUUAAAAUAUUGUGUGUUCAAGUCCAAUGAUUUCAUGGUCUCUAAAAACGGUAACAUUCCAUAAAAUGAUAUUAUACCCAGUACAUUAAAAAAAUAUAUACUUUUGUAA